AUUGAACGCUGGCGGCAUGCCUAACACAUGCAAGUCGAGCGGAGUUGCGGACGGGGGAGUAAUGCCUAGGACUCUGCCUUGUCGUUGGGGCUAACGUCCGUAAACGGGCCCUAAUACCGCAUACUAUCUGCUGCGCCUAGUUCGGAUUAGCUAGCUGGUUAGGUAAAGGCGUACCAAGGCGACGAUCCGUAACUGGUCUGAGAGGAUGAUCAGUCACACUGGAACUGAGACACGGUCCAGACUCCUACGGGAGGCAGCAGUGGGGAAUAUGGGACAAUGGGCGAAAGCCUGAUCCAGCCAUGCCGCGUGAGUGAAGAAGGUCUUCGGAUCGUAAAGCACUUUAAGUUGGGAGGCGUUACCAAAAGAAUAAGCAACGGCUAACUUCGUGCCAGCAGCCGCGGUAAUUC
rnacentral:rRNA from 1 species